rnacentral:tRNA from 1 species
GCGGGUAUCGUAUAAUGGUUAUUACGUCUGGUUGCCAAUCAGAGAAUGGGGGUUCGAUUCCCCCUACCCGCUCCA